rnacentral:rRNA from 1 species
GACGAACGCUGGCGGCGUGCUUAACACAUGCAAGUCGAACGGAAAGGCCCUGCUUUUGUGGGGUGCUCGAGUGGCGAACGGGUGAGUAACACGUGAGUAACCUGCCCUUGACUUUGGGAUAACUUCAGGAAACUGGGGCUAAUACCGGAUAGGAGCUCCUGCUGCAUGGUGGGGGUUGGAAAGUUUCGGCGGUUGGGGAUGGACUCGCGGCUUAUCAGCUUGUUUGUGGGGUAGGGGCUUACCAAGGCUUUGACGGGUAGCCGGCCUGAGAGGGUGACCGGCCACAUUGGGACUGAGAUACGGCCCAGACUCCUACGGGAGGCAGCAGUGGGGAAUAUUGCACAAUGGGCGGAAGCCUGAUGCAGCAACGCCGCGUGCGGGAUGACGGCCUUCGGGUUGUAAACCGCUUUCGCCUGUGACGAAGCGUGAGUGACGGUAAUGGGUAAAGAAGCACCGGCUAACUACGUG